ACCGCGGUAGCCCAGUGAGUAGAGGCGUCGGCAGUAGGUACCUACUGAUGCCGAAAGUCGUAAGUUCAAAUCCUGCCUGCGGUG